rnacentral:sRNA from 1 species
ACACGAGAAAGGAGGUGGUCCACAAAUAAUGCAUUCUUUGAGGACUCGUGAGGUGGUUGCCGGUUAGGCAGCUUGCUGCCGGACAAUCUACGGCAGCCACCGCGGCCCGUGGGGGUCGAGCCCAGUCCAGCUCGACGACAUCAACCCCACGGGCCGUUUCUC